UACGUAGGGCGCAAGCGUUGUCCGGAAUUAUUGGGCGUAAAGAGCUCGUAGGCGGUUUGUCGCGUCUGCCGUGAAAACCCGAGGCUUAACCUCGUGGCUUGCGGUGGAUACGGGCAGACUAGAGGUAGGUAGGGGAGAAUGGAAUUCCCGGUGUAGCGGUGAAAUGCGCAGAUAUCAGGAGGAACACCGAUGGCGAAGGCGACAUCCUGGACCGGUAUUGACGCUGAGGCGCGAAAGCCAGGGGAGCAAACGGGG
rnacentral:rRNA from 1 species